rnacentral:rRNA from 1 species
UACGUAGGGUGCAAGCGUUGUCCGGAAUUAUUGGGCGUAAAGAGCUCGUAGGCGGUCUGUCGCGUCUGCUGUGAAAACUCAGGGCUUAACCCUGAGCUUGCAGUGGGUACGGGCAGACUAGAGUGCGGUAGGGGAGACUGGAAUUCCUGGUGUAGCGGUGAAAUGCGCAGAUAUCAGGAGGAACACCGGUGGCGAAGGCGGUUCUCUGGGCAUGUUCUGACGCUGAGGAGCGAAAGUGUGGGGAGCGAACAGG